GAUCCUGGCUCAUAAUCAACGCUGGCGGCGUGCCUAAUACAUGCAAGUCGUACGCGAAGACCCCGCAAGGGGUUGGUAGCGUGGCAAACGGGUGAGUAACGCGUGGGCGACCUACCUUCGAGUGGGGGAUAACCUUCCGAAAGGAGGGCUAAUACCGCAUGACAUCCCAUGUUUGGAUACAUGGACAUCAAAGCCGGGGAUCGCAAGACCUGGCGCUUGGAGAGGGGCCUACGUCCGAUUAGCUAGUUGGUGGGGUAAUGGCUCACCAAGGCGACGAUCGGUAUCCGGCCUGAGAGGGCGGACGGACACACUGGGACUGAGACACGGCCCAGACUCCUAGGGAGGCA
rnacentral:rRNA from 1 species